rnacentral:rRNA from 1 species
GACGAACGCUGGCGGCGUGCUUAACACAUGCAAGUCGAACGGAAAGGCCCUGCUUUUGUGGGGUGCUCGAGUGGCGAACGGGUGAGUAACACGUGAGUAACCUGCCCUUGACUUUGGGAUAACUUCAGGAAACUGGGGCUAAUACCGGAUAGGAGCUCCUGCUGCAUGGUGGGGGUUGGAAAGUUUCGGCGGGUGGGGAUGGACUCGCGGCUUAUCAGCUUGUUGGUGGGGUAGUGGCUUACCAAGGCUUUGACGGGUAGCCGGCCUGAGAGGGUGACCGGCCACAUUGGGACUGAGAUAGGGCCCAGACUCCUACGGGAGGCAGCAGUGGGGAAUAUUGCACAAUGGGCGGAAGCCUGAUGCAGCAACGCCGCGUGCGGGAUGACGGCCUUCGGGUUGUAAACCGCUUUCGCCUGUGACGAAGCGUGAGUGACGGUAAUGGGUAAAGAAGCACCGGCUAACUACGUG